CCCCUAGAUGUUCUGGGCCGCACGCGCGCUACACUGAACAGUUCAACAAGUCUUAACCUUGGCCGAUAGGUCUGGGUAAUCUUUGAACGCUGUUCGUGAUUGGGAUAGACCUUUGCAAUUAUGGGUCUUCAACGAGGAAUUCCUAGUAAACGCAAGUCAUCAGCUUGCAUUGAUUACGUCCCUGCCCUUUGUACACCCCGCCCGUCGCACCUACCGAUUGAAUGGUCCGGUGAAAUCUCGGGACGGCGGCUUGGUCGCUUGCGUCCGACUGCUGAAACUUGAUUAAACCAUAUCAUUUAGAGGAAGGUGAAGUCGUANCA
rnacentral:rRNA from 1 species